GACGAACGCUGGCGGCGUGCCUAAUACAUGCAAGUUGAGCGCUGAAGGUUGGUACUUGUACCGACUGGAUGAGCAGCGAACGGGUGAGUAACGCGUGGGGAAUCUGCCUUUGAGCGGGGGACAACAUUUGGAAACGAAUGCUAAUACCGCAUAAAAACUUUAAACACAAGUUUUAAGUUUGAAAGAUGCAAUUGCAUCACUCAAAGAUGAUCCCGCGUUGUAUUAGCUAGUUGGUGAGGUAAAGGCUCACCAAGGCGAUGAUACAUAGCCGACCUGAGAGGGUGAUCGGCCACAUUGGGACUGAGACACGGCCCAAACUCCUACGGGAGGCAGCAGUAGGGGAUCUUCGGCAAUGGACGAAAGUCUGACCGAGCAACGCCGCGUGAGGGAAGAAGGUUUUCGGAUCGUAAAACUCUGUUGGUAGAGAAGAACGUUGGUGAGAGUGGAAAGCUCAUCAAGUGACGGUAACUACCCAGAAAGGGACGGCUAACUACGUG
rnacentral:rRNA from 1 species